rnacentral:rRNA from 1 species
GGUAGGAUAGAGGCCUACCAUGGUGGUAACGGGUAACGGGGUGUUAGGGCACGACACCGGAGAGGGAGCCUGAGAAACGGCUACCACAUCCAAGGAUGGCAGCAGGCGCGCAAAUUACCCAAUCCCGACACGGGGAGGUAGUGACAAUAAAUAACAAUACGGGGUUCUUUCGGAUUUCGUAAUUGGAAUGAGUACAAUUUAAAUCUCUUAACGAGGAACAAUUGGAGGGCAAGUCUGGUGCCAGCAGCCGCGGUAAUUCCAGCUCCAAUAGCGUAUAUUAAAGUUGCUGCAGUUAAAAAGCUCGUAGUUGAAUUUCGGGACCAAUAUGUCGGUCGUGCCUCGGUACGUACUGGCAUCGUUGGUUUCUCCCUUCUGACGAACCAUGAUGUCAUUUAUUUGGUGUCGUGGGGAAUCAGGACUGUUACUUUGAAAAAAUUAGAGUGUUUAAAGCAGGCUCACGCUUGAAUACAUUAGCAUGGAAUAAUGAAAUAGGACGUUUGAUUCUAUUUUGUUGGUUUCUAGGAUUGACGUAAUGAUUAAUAGGGAUAGUUGGGGGCAUUAGUAUUCAAUUGUCAGAGGUGAAAUUCUUGGAUUUAUUGAAGACUAACUACUGCGAAAGCAUUUGCCAAGGAUGUUUUCAUUAAUCAAGAACGAAAGUUAGGGGAUCGAAGACGAUCAGAUACCGUCGUAGUCUUAACCAUAAACUAUGCCGACUAGGGAUCGGAUGAUGUUAAUUUUUUAAUGACUCAUUCGGCGCCUUACGGGAAACCAAAGUGUUUGGGUUC